rnacentral:rRNA from 1 species
UAAAAUUUAUUUUAAAUUUUUGAUUUAAGAUUUAAUUUAAUUUAAUUAAAUUUUUGUUUUAUUAAUUAAUUUGAAUAAAUUAUUGUAAUAAUAGUUAAGUAGUAUAGUAAUAGAAGAUAAUAAAUUAUUAAAAAGAAAAAAUUAUUUUUGUACCUUGUGUAUCAGGGUUAAUUAAUAUUUAAAAUAUAUAUUUAAUUCUCGAAUUUAAAAGAGCUAAUUAAUUAUAUUUUAAUUGUAUCAUAAAUUUUAUAAAUAAUUAAUUGGUAGUGAAAUGUUAUUCGUUUUUAAAUAUAUCUAGUUUUUUAAGAAAAAAAUUGAAUUUUUUUAAUAAUUUAAUAAUUUUUUGUAUUUUUAAUUAGUUGUUAUUAUGAAAAAAAUUUUUUUGGGAUUAGCUAAAAAAAUUAUUUUUAUUUAUAAAUUAAUUUAUAUAAAAUUAUAGGAUUAGAAAUUUUUAUUAUUAGUAGUUUGUUAUAAUUAUUUUAUAUUAAGUAGUUUUUUUAUGUAUAAUAAAUUUUUUAUUAAAAAAUUAAUUUAAAUAAUUUUUAUUAAGUUAUAAUGAUUAAAUUAGUAUAAUUUUUUUUAAUAAUAAAUUAAUAAUUUAAGAUUAUUUAAAGGAAUUCGGCAAAAUUAUUUUUCACCUGUUUAUUAAAAACAUGGCCUUUUGAUUAUAAUUUUAGGUCUUACCUGCCCACUGAAAAUUUGAAUGGCCGCGGUAUUUUGACUGUGCAAAGGUAGCAUAAUCAUUAGUUUUUUAAUUGAAAGCUGGAAUGAAAGGUUUUAUGAAAAAAUGACUGUCUUUAUUUAAAAAUUAAAAUUUUAUUUUUAAGUUAAAAAGCUUAAAUAUUUUUGAUAGACGAGAAGACCCUAUAGAGUUUAAUAAUUUUAUUUUGUAUAAUAAAUUUUAAUUUAUAUAUAUUUAAAAUUAUUGGAUUGGGGUGAUUAAAUAAUUAAAUUAACUUAUUUAGAAAACUAUCAUUGAUUUAUGUUAAAUUGAUCCAUUAUUUAUGAUUAAAAAAUUAAAUUACCUUAGGGAUAACAGCGUAAUUUUUUUAAAGAGUUCUAAUCGAAAAAAAAGAUUGCGACCUCGAUGUUGGAUUAAAAUUAAUUUUUGGUAGUAGAAGCUAAAAAUUUUAGGUCUGUUCGACCUUUAAAAUUUUACAUGAUCUGAGUUUAAACCGGUGUGAGCCAGGUUGGUUUCUAUCUUUAAAUGUAGAAAAAUAAUUUAGUACGAAAGGAUUAAUUAUUUAGUUUAUAAUUUGAAACUAUGAAAAUGAAUAAUAUGU